AUUGAACGCUGGCGGAAUGCUUUACACAUGCAAGUCGAACGGCAGCACGGGGGCAGCCCUGGUGGCGAGUGGCGAACGGGUGAGUAAUACAUCGGAACGUGCCCGGUCGUGGGGGAUAACGUAGCGAAAGUUACGCUAAUACCGCAUACGAUCUGAUGAUGAAAGCGGGGGACCUUCGGGCCUCGCGCGAUCGGAGCGGCCGAUGUCAGAUUAGGUAGUUGGUGGGGUAAAGGCCUACCAAGCCGACGAUCUGUAGCUGGUCUGAGAGGACGACCAGCCACACUGGGACUGAGACACGGCCCAGACUCCUACGGGAGGCAGCAGUGGGGAAUUUUGGACAAUGGGCGCAAGCCUGAUCCAGCCAUUCCGCGUGCAGGACGAAGGCCUUCGGGUUGUAAACUGCUUUUGUACGGAACGAAAAGGCUCUGGCUAAUACCUGGGGCUCAUGACGGUACCGUAAGAAUAAGCACCGGCUAACUACGUG
rnacentral:rRNA from 1 species